GAUGAACGCUGGCGGCGUGCCUAAUACAUGCAAGUCGAGCGAACAGACGAGGAGCUUGCUCCUCUGACGUUAGCGGCGGACGGGUGAGUAACACGUGGAUAACCUACCUAUAAGACUGGGAUAACUUCGGGAAACCGGAGCUAAUACCGGAUAAUAUCUUGAACCGUAUGGUUCAAUAGUGAAAGACGGUUUUGCUGUCACUUAUAGAUGGAUCCGCGCCGCAUUAGCUAGUUGGUAAGGUAACGGCUUACCAAGGCAACGAUGCGUAGCCGACCUGAGAGGGUGAUCGGCCACACUGGAACUGAGACACGGUCCAGACUCCUACGGGAGGCAGCAGUAGGGAAUCUUCCGCAAUGGGCGAAAGCCUGACGGAGCAACGCCGCGUGAGUGAUGAAGGUCUUCGGAUCGUAAAACUCUGUUAUUAGGGAAGAACAAAUGUGUAAGUAACUAUGCACGUCUUGACGGUACCUAUUCAGAAAGCCACGGCUAACUACGUG
rnacentral:rRNA from 1 species